rnacentral:misc_RNA from 1 species
UGGAAGUAAAAGUCGUAACAAGGUUUCCGUAGGUGAACCUGCGGAAGGAUCAUUACUGAUUUGCUUAAUUGCACCACAUGUGUUUUUCUUUGAAACAAACUUGCUUUGGCGGUGGGCCCAGCCUGCCGCCAGAGGUCUAAACUUACAACCAAUUUUUUAUCAACUUGUCACACCAGAUUAUUACUAAUAGUCAAAACUUUCAACAACGGAUCUCUUGGUUCUCGCAUCGAUGAAGAACGCAGCGAAAUGCGAUACGUAAUAUGAAUUGCAGAUAUUCGUGAAUCAUCGAAUCUUUGAACGCACAUUGCGCCCUCUGGUAUUCCGGAGGGCAUGCCUGUUUGAGCGUCGUUUCUCCCUCAAACCGCUGGGUUUGGUGUUGAGCAAUACGACUUGGGUUUGCUUGAAAGACGGUAGUGGUAAGGCGGGAUCGCUUUGACAAUGGCUUAGGUCUAACCAAAAACAUUGUUUGCGGCGGUAACGUCCACCACGUAUAUCUUCAAACUUUGACCUCAAAUCAGGUAGGACUACCCGCUGAACUUAAGCAUAUCAAUAAGCGGAGGAA